CAGCUAACCAGCUCUGGAGCAGGUGGCGGGGAGGGCGGGCAAAAGGCAGACACCGGCCAGGAAAAGGCGAGCCUUGUCUCCAACAGGAAGAUGUUUUUCUAUUUUACCACCCAAGAGGGAAGAAGGAAGAAGGAAGAAGGAAGAAGGAAGAUUUUUCUCCUUGCCCCGCAACAGCCCAGCCAAUGAGAGACUGUCACAAUGCAGCCGGUGAAAAGCCACUGCACUUGGAACUCCCACUUUCCUCCAGCGGACUGUGUGAGAGCCCCUCCCAGCUCCGUCUUUGUGCAAAGAACAGCCCUCUUCUUUGUCUUACCUGCCUAUGGUUUUGCCAUUAGAUCGAAUGUCCAGAAUUAUAAUGCUUUGUUGGUAAAACAGCUGUUUGAUUUGCCUAGGUCCACAGUGCCAAGCCUCCAAUAAUCCUGGUCAUCGGUGUUGACAGCCAAGGUGUGUUUGAUCAGCACAAGCUUUGGCUGGACCCGGCCAUUUGCCGGGAGAAAUAAAAACACGAAACUCAUUCUCACAGUUUGUUCUGGAGCUCAGUGUGCAGAACCGAAGCCAGAAUGCCUGCUCAGGAGUCCAGAGCAGAUCUCCGUGGUCACAUGGUCUCACAACAACCACGCCAGCAAACCUGGCUUCUUUUGUUCUCGGUACAAAGGACGCCUCCCUUGGAGAUGUGAGCCCAGAGCCGCUCUUCCUUCAGAAGGAUCUUAACGAAGCAGGUGAAGGAAUGACCAAACAUUGACUUUGGACCUGUCCCUCUGAUGGCGUCAUCGUGCCGUCACAGUCCGGGGAGGGGAGGGUUUACACCCAUUGGAUGGACGAGGCAGCUGAAGAUCCGAGGGGUGUGGGGAGCCGCACGGUCGGUGGGACUCGGGGUGGGGACAGCACUGUGGGUCCUGCUCUUCGGGCGCCUCCAGGGACACUCACCACACUGUGCUGUGAUGAUCUGUACCGGUCACCCUCCCGCCCAUGCGCCUGUGUGUUACUGGUGGGCAAAGACUCCCUAAGACUUGUUUAGCCGGCAAUGAAAAUGAGACUUGGCCCAUCGCCAAUUGGCAACACAUUCUGAAUGAAUGAAUGAAUGAAUGAAUGAAUGAACAAAUAAACUCUAUGGA